rnacentral:rRNA from 1 species
UACGUAGGGUGCAAGCGUUUGUCCGGAAUUAUUGGGCGUAAAGAGCUCGUAGGCGGUCUGUCGCGUCUGGUGUGAAAACUCAGGGCUUAACCCUGAGCUUGCAUCGGGUACGGGCAGACUAGAGUGCGGUAGGGGAGACUGGAAUUCCUGGUGUAGCGGUGAAAUGCGCAGAUAUCAGGAGGAACACCGGUGGCGAAGGCGGGUCUCUGGGCCGUAACUGACGCUGGAGGAGCGAAAGCAUGGGGAGCGAACAGG